GACGAACGCUGGCGGCGUGCUUAACACAUGCAAGUCGAACGGAAAGGCCCUGCUUUUGUGGGGUGCUCGAGUGGCGAACGGGUGAGUAACACGUGAGUAACCUGCCCUUGGCUUUGGGAUAACUUCAGGAAACUGGGGCUAAUACCGGAUAGGAGCUCCUGCUGCAUGGUGGGGGUUGGAAAGUUUCGGCGGUUGGGGAUGGACUCGCGGCUUAUCAGCUUGUUGGUGGGGUAGUGGCUUACCAAGGCUUUGACGGGUAGCCGGCCUGAGAAGGUGACCGGCCACAUUGGGACUGAGAUACGGCCCAGACUCCUACGGGAGGCAGCAGUGGGGAAUAUUGCACAAUGGGCGGAAGCCUGAUGCAGCAACGCCGCGUGCGGGAUGACGGCCUUCGGGUUGUAAACCGCUUUCGCCUGUGACGAAGCGUGAGUGACGGUAAUGGGUAAAGAAGCACCGGCUAACUACGUG
rnacentral:rRNA from 1 species